rnacentral:rRNA from 1 species
CCUACGGGAGGCAGCAGUGAGGAAUAUUGGUCAAUGGGCGCGAGCCUGAACCAGCCAAGUCGCGUGAGGGAAGACGGUCCUAUGGAUUGUAAACCUCUUUUGUCGGGGAGCAAAAGACGCCACGCGUGGCGUUCCGAGAGUACCCGAAGAAAAAGCAUCGGCUAACUCCGUGCCAGCAGCCGCGGUAAUACGGAGGAUGCGAGCGUUAUCCGGAUUUAUUGGGUUUAAAGGGUGCGCAGGCGGAAGAUCAAGUCUGGGGUAAAAUUGAGAGGCUCAACCUCUUCGAGCCGUUGAAACUGGUUUGCUUGAGUGAGUGAGAAGUAUGCGGAAUGCGUGGUGUAGCGGUGAAAUGCAUAGAUAUCACGCAGAACUCCGAUUGCGAAGGCAGCAUACCGGCGCUCAACUGACGCUCAUGCACGAAAGUGUGGGUAUCGAACAGGAUUAAUACCCGAGUAGUC